AGUGAACGCUGGCGGUAGGCCUAACACAUGCAAGUCGAACGGCAGCACAGUAAGAGCUUGCUCUUACGGGUGGCGAGUGGCGGACGGGUGAGGAAUACAUCGGAAUCUACUUUUUCGUGGGGGAUAACGUAGGGAAACUUACGCUAAUACCGCAUACGACCUACGGGUGAAAGCAGGGGAUCUUCGGACCUUGCGCGAUUGAAUGAGCCGAUGUCGGAUUAGCUAGUUGGCGGGGUAAAGGCCCACCAAGGCGACGAUCCAGCUGGUCUGAGAGGAUGAUCAGCCACACUGGAACUGAGACACGGUCCAGACUCCUACGGGAGGCAGCAGUGGGGAAUAUUGGACAAUGGGCGCAAGCCUGAUCCAGCCAUACCGCGUGGGUGAAGAAGGCCUUCGGGUUGUAAAGCCCUUUUGUUGGGAAAGAAAAGCAGCAGGUUAAUACCCCGCUGUUCUGACGGUACCCAAAGAAUAAGCACCGGCUAACUUCGUG
rnacentral:rRNA from 1 species